GGUCUAAGUUUAGUUUAGUCUGUGUAGUUUAGCAACCAGCUGUUCAUAUAGUUAUAUAUUGUUUCUGAACAAUUACCGACGUGAUGCCCGUUGGGACAACUGUGUUGUGAUAUAGGUUAUAGAAAUAAAUAUGAGUUGAAUCUGGCUCAAAACUGUACGGCUGGAUGACUCCAACGUUGCUCUCCAUCUUUGGUCGCGCCGCUAACUUUAAGUUGUGGUGAUGACGAGUUGUAAAACAUAAUGGGGAAGUGGGCGGGCUUAAUUCAUACCAACAAUCCCGCCCACAACUCGGGUAAAUUUCUAAUGAAAACUGUUGCUCUGAAGAAUUUAUGUCCAAGAAAAAUCAUAGUUGACCAACCACUGGCUUUUACAAAAGAUCGAAAGAUAUUUGAAAUAAUUGAAACAAUUUCUAUUUUUAAAUUCUUUAUUUUUUUCAUUUUGUGUUUCAAACUAAUUAAAAAUGUAUAUAACUUAAAGGCAAAACCUGAACCCUAUUUAAAAAGCAUUUAUUGAGCAGUUCUGCUUAAAUUAAAUAAAGAUUUCCAAACCACAUUUUGUUUUUAUAGAAACUUUAUUUUUUCUUUAGUGGAGAUUUAGCUUCAAUCUAAAAGGAAAACUGAAUAAAAAGCCCUCGGCACCAACGGGAAUAAUUAAGACCGACACACUGAGCGUGUUCCGUCGUAUUCAGGCUCCAGGUCUUUGUCCGUUGGAACAUUAGCAUCUCCCGUCGACGUCGGCUGGCCGGGGUCACUCCGGCGCGCCCCUCGCUGUGAUGCUGCUUUCAGAGCGAGCUGUAAUUUUCACACAGUUCAAAGAAUGAGGGCAGCUUCACAGUUAGCUAAUUACAUGUAUUACUGCAUGAACGAUGCUGCCCUUCCCACUCCCACCAAGGGUGUGCCGACCGGACGGCCGUUCGACUUCACGCCUGUCGGCUCCGGGCGGUGAUUUACAGGAUCGGCCCAAAGUGACGGCGAUAUCAAUCAUUUGGAGCUGAGGAGGCUGCGAACGCAACAGGAGGUGCUGCUCUCACACUAAGAGGGAAAAGUUUCCGUCUGACGUCAGAGGUGCGCGGCCCUUCGUCCAGUGAUGCACACUCCGGCGGUGAGAUGGCAGAGAACAGAUUAUCAGUGGGAAAGUGGUUUGUGCUCUCAGACGAGACUUUCUCUUUUCUUUUUUUUUCAGAGUUUUACAAACAAGCGGCACAAAAUCCAUCAACUAGGUCAGGGUCAGAAAUUCCGCUUACUUCUGCUCUCAGGCUUUUUUUUUCUGGAACGAACCCAAAAAAAAUCUGCAAUUCUUCAAGAUCAGAAGUGUGCAGAUACAAGCAGAAAUGAAUGCUUGGACCGCUCCAUGCCAACAGUCUCACAUUAAAAUACACUCAUUUGGAAUUAAAGUGCUUAUCGCGUACUGAUGGUUUUGGCACGGCGGCGGCAGACUGCUGAUGUCAGGGUCUGACAGAACGCCGAGGAGACUUUGAUCAGCAGCAGCUGACACGCCGCUUACUUAAUGGAGACGUACGGAGAAAGUGAUGGCAAAGGAGAGGUGAGCUCUGUCAAUGAAGGAGGACAAAAGAUGAACUGAUUAAAGAAAGACCUUUCACUCCUUCCUCCGUUUUAGAACAGGUAAACUGGGCUUUUUUUUACCUGUCGGUAUCCAUUGUUUACAGUAUUUACUUGUAGUAAUUGAGUCUAAAAAGCUACACUCCCAUACUCUGUCGGGUUAACAUAUUUUGCAUUUGUUGCCGUUGUGUACUGAGCCAUACUUUCUCCAGACAUUGAAGCCUUCAUCUCAACCGUCCUUAUGGGUACAUAUGGAUCUACGGGUGGAAAACUGUAUGGAGAAAAUAGACUCACCCAGAUUUGUGUGUGUGAUUGUUGAUUUGUAACUCAUACAUGUUUGUGCAAACUUUAUGGACUUGCAAUUCAAAAAUAUACAAUUACACUUGGACAACUUAAAAUUACAACAGCUUGAAACUAACUACACUUAUAAAUUGCUUGUUACGCAUAAACAAAACCACGUUUACGCACAAAUCUGAUGUAAGACUCUUUUCUCGCCGUCAAGAUUUGUGUGUAAAUGAUGCGUUUAAGUGCUACUAGAAUCCUGGGUCAUCAGAGUUUUCUUAUCAGCCUCUUUGAACUUAGAUUGUGAAUAAUAUCUGGUGAAAACUUGACAUUUUUCCACUUUUUUAAACAAAUAUGCCCAAUAAUUAAUAUAAAAAAAGUCUAAAUGUGUUUUUAAAACACUGAAGUUUCUGUAUUUUCAUCGCUGCCUUGCGGAAGCGGUUUCCCUGCAGCCCCUUCGCCACGAAGCUCUUAUGUGACGCGAGGUCUUCCUCGACACCCAGAGAGCGGAUAGAGUCGAUCGGCCCUACGCUCCGCUCCGCUCCCGAGGUGUUGAGGAGGACCUUUAUGGGGUCAAAUCACGUUCAGUUUAAAGUGAACAAAAAAAAAAAAA